AACGAACGCUGGCGGCGUGGAUAAGACAUGCAAGUCGAACGGGACUAAAUCUGUAGCAAUACAGGUUUAGUUUAGUGGCGAACGGGUGCGUAACACGUGGGCAAUCUGCCGAGAAGUGGGGGAGUAGCUCGCCGAAAGGACGAAUUAAUACCGCAUAUGAUCAGCUAAGACAUCUUAGCGACAUCAAAGCCGGGGUAACCGUGCGCUUCUUGAUGAGCCCGCGGCCUAUCAGCUAGUUGGUGAGGUAAUGGCUCACCAAGGCUAUGACGGGUAGCUGGUCUGAGAGGACGACCAGUCACACUGGAACUGAGACACGGUCCAGACACCUACGGGUGGCAGCAGUCGAGAAUUUUUCUC
rnacentral:rRNA from 1 species